rnacentral:rRNA from 1 species
AACGAACGCUGGCGGCGUGUCUUAAGCAUGCAAGUUGAGCGGCAAGGGGUAGCAAUACCCCCUAGAGCGGCGGACUGGUGAGUAACGCGUGGGUGAUCUGCCCUUGGGAUGGGGAUAGCCACUAGAAAUAGUGGGUAAUACCGAAUACGUUCGCUAAACCACGGUUUAGCGAGGAAAAGCGCUUCGGCGCUGCCCGAGGAUGAGCCCGCGUCCCAUUAGCUAGUUGGUGAGGUAAUGGCUCACCAAGGCGACGAUCAGUAGCCGACCUGAGAGGGUGAUCGGCCACACUGGAACUGAGACACGGUCCAGACUCCUACGGGAGGCAG